rnacentral:sRNA from 1 species
GCGGACCAUGCGCGGCGCCGGGCGCCCAGUACAUGAAGAAGGGCCGGUCCGGCGUCAGCGCGUGC